AACGAACGCUGGCGGCAUGCCUAACACAUGCAAGUCGAACGAUCCCUUCGGGGAUAGUGGCGCACGGGUGCGUAACGCGUGGGAACCUGCCCUUAGGUUCGGAAUAACUCAGAGAAAUUUGAGCUAAUACCGGAUAAUGUCUUCUGACCAAAGAUUUAUCGCCUUUGGAUGGGCCCGCGUUGGAUUAGCUUGUUGGUGGGGUAAAGGCCUACCAAGGCGACGAUCCAUAGCUGGUCUGAGAGGAUGAUCAGCCACACUGGGACUGAGACACGGCCCAGACUCCUACGGGAGGCAGGAGUGGGGAAUAUUGGAAAAUGGGCGAAAGCCUGAUCCAGCAAUGCCGCGUGAGUGAUGAAGGCCUUAGGGUUGUAAAGCUCUUUUACCCGGGAUGAUAAUGACAGUACCGGGAGAAUAAGCCCCGGCUAACUCCGUG
rnacentral:rRNA from 1 species